GAGGAGAAGACUUUAUAAGAGAUGUGACUCAUAAACCUAAUGCCAUAAGGUUUUGGGUUAAGAUGUGGCGUCGAUAUCUCUUAGCGUCUUGCUCCUC
rnacentral:pre_miRNA from 1 species